UACCAGCACCCCGAGUGGUCGGGACGUUUAUUGGGCCUAAAGCAUCCGUAGCCGGUUCUACGAGUCUUCCGUUAAAUCCAACUGCUUAACAGGUGGGCUGCGGAAGAUACUAUAGAGCUAGGAGGCGGGAGAGGCAAGCGGUACUCGAUGGGUAGGGGUAAAAUCCGUUGAUCCAUUGAAGACCACCAGUGGCGAAGGCGGCUGCCAGAACGCGCUCGACGGUGAGGGAUGAAAGCUGGGGAGCAACCGG
rnacentral:rRNA from 1 species